rnacentral:rRNA from 1 species
ACAGCUCCCUCUAAAUUUACACAUGCAAGUAUCAGCAUACCCGUGAGAACGCCCUUUAACCUUUAUAGGACAAGGAGCCGGUAUCAGGCACAGACAACUAGCCCAUGACACCUAGCUUUGCCACACCCUCAAGGGUACUCAGCAGUGAUUAACAUUGUUUAUACGCGCCAGCUUGAAUCAGUUACAGAGCAAAGAGCCGGCCAAUACGGUGCCAGCCGCCGCGGCUACACCGCUAGGCUCAAGUUGAUAUUAUCCGGCGUUAAGCGUGUUUUAAGUGCCUAAAAAAUUAGAAUUAAACUUAAACCAAGCCGUGACACGCUUGUUCCUAAGAAAAACAAAAACGAAAGUUAUUCUAACCCAACCACUUGAACCCACGACAGCUAGGGCACAAACUGGGAUUAGGUACCCCACUAUGCCUAGCCGUAAAACAUACACUUACACCUUUAAUCGCCAGGGAAUUACGAGCCCUAGCUUAAAACCCAAAGGACUUGACGGUGUCCCACCCACCUAGAGGAGCCUGUUCUAUAAUCGAUUCCCCCC